rnacentral:rRNA from 1 species
GACGUAGGAUGCAAGCGUUGUUCGGAUUAUUGGGCGUAAAGCGAGCGUAGGUGGCUAGAUAAGUCUGGUGUUAAAGCUAGGGGCUCAACCCCUGUGUUGCACUGGAAACUGUCUGGCUUGAGGAUGGUAGGGGAAGGUGGAAUUCCGAGUGUAGCGGUGAAAUGCGUAGAUAUUCGGAGGAACACCGGUGGCGAAAGCGACCUUCUGGGCCAUUUCUGACACUGAGGCUCGAAAGCUUGGGGAGCAAACGGG